rnacentral:rRNA from 1 species
UACGUAGGGUGCGAGCGUUGCCCGGAUUUAUUGGGCGUAAAGGGCGCGCAGGCGGCCACGCGCGUCCGUUGUGAAAUCGCUCGGCUCAACUGGGCGAGGUCAGCGGAUACGGCGUGGCUGGAGCAAGCUAGGGGGCAAUGGAAUUCCCGGUGUAGUGGUGGAAUGCGUAGAUAUCGGGAGGAACACCAGUGGCGAAGGCGGUUGCCUGGAGCUUUGCUGACGCUGAGGCGCGAAGGCCAGGGGAGCAAACGGG